rnacentral:rRNA from 1 species
ACCGGCCACAUUGGGACUGAGAUACGGCCCAGACUCCUACGGGAGGCAGCAGUGGGGAAUAUUGCACAAUGGGCGCAAGCCUGAUGCAGCGACGCCGCGUGCGGGAUGACGGCCUUCGGGUUGUAAACCGCUUUUGAUCGGGAGCAAGCCUUCGGGUGAGUGUACCUUUCGAAUAAGCACCGGCUAACUACGUGCCAGCAGCCGCGGUAAUACGUAGGGUGCAAGCGUUAUCCGGAAUUAUUGGGCGUAAAGGGCUCGUAGGCGGUUCGUCGCGUCCGGUGUGAAAGUCCAUCGCUUAACGGUGGAUCUGCGCCGGGUACGGGCGGGCUGGAGUGCGGUAGGGGAGACUGGAAUUCCCGGUGUAACGGUGGAAUGUGUAGAUAUCGGGAAGAACACCAAUGGCGAAGGCAGGUCUCUGGGCCGUUACUGACGCUGAGGAGCGAAAGCGUGGGGAGCGAACAGGAUUAGAUACCCUGGUAGUCCACGCCGUAAACGGUGGAUGCUGGAUGUGGGGCCCGUUCCACGGGUUCCGUGUCGGAGCUAACGCGUUAAGCAUCCCGCCUGGGGAGUACGGCCGCAAGGCUAAAACUCAAAGAAAUUGACGGGGGCCCGCACAAGCGGCGGAGCAUGCGGAUUAAUUCGAUGCAACGCGAAGAACCUUACCUGGGCUUGACAUGUUCCCGACAGCCGUAGAGAUAUGGCCUCCCUUCGGGGCGGGUUCACAGGUGGUGCAUGGUCGUCGUCAGCUCGUGUCGUGAGAUGUUGGGUUAAGUCCCGCAACGAGCGCAACCCUCGCCCUGUGUUGCCAGCACGUCAUGGUGGGAACUCACGGGGGACCGCCGGGGUCAACUCGGAGGAAGGUGGGGAUGACGUCAGAUCAUCAUGCCCCUUACGUCCAGGGCUUCACGCAUGCUACAAUGGCCGGUACAACGGGAUGCGACACGGCGACGUGGAGCGGAUCCCUGAAAACCGGUCUCAGUUCGGAUUGGAGUCUGCAACCCGACUCCAUGAAGGCGGAGUCGCUAGUAAUCGCGGAUCAGCAACGCCGCGGUGAAUGCGUUCCCGGGCCUUGUACACACCGCCCGUCAAGUCAUGAAAGUGGGUAGCACCCGAAGCCGGUGGCCUAACCCUUUGUGGAUGGAGCCGUCUAAGGUGAGACUCGUGAUUGGGACUAAGUCGUAACAAGGUAGCCGUACCGGAAGGUGCGGCUG